CAGUCGCCACGGUAAUACAGAGGGUGCAAGCGUUAAUCGGAAUUACUGGGCGUAAAGCGCGCGUAGGUGGUUUGUUAAGUUGGAUGUGAAAUCCCCGGGCUCAACCUGGGAACUGCAUCCAAAACUGGCAAGCUAGAGUAUGGUAGAGGGUGGUGGAAUUUCCUGUGUAGCGGUGAAAUGCGUAGAUAUAGGAAGGAACACCAGUGGCGAAGGCGACCACCUGGACUGAUACUGACACUGAGGUGCGAAAGCGUGGGGAGCAAACAGGAUUAGAUACACCAGUAGUCCCUGUCUCUUAUAC
rnacentral:rRNA from 1 species